rnacentral:rRNA from 1 species
UUUUUUAUAUUAAAUAAAUAUAUUUUAGUUAUAUUAUUAUAAAGAAUAAAUUUAAUUUUUUUAUAAAGAAUUAGUAUUGUAAAAGAAUUUUUUAUAAUUAGAAAAGAAAAAUAGAAUUUGUACCUUGUGUCUCAGGGUUGAUUAAUUAAUAAUUAAUAUUUUAAUAUUCUCAAAUUAAAAAGAUUUAUAUUAUUAUAUAUUUUAUUGUAAAAUAAAUAUUUAUAAUAAUAAUAUAGAAAUUAAAAGUUAUUCGAUUUUUAAUAUAUUUAGUUUUAAUAGAAAAAAAUUUAAUUUUAUUAUAAAAAAUAUAAAUUUAAUUUAUUAAAUUUAUAUUAUUUAUGUUAAAUAAAUUUAGGGAUGAGCUUAAAUUUAAAUUUUUAUAAAAAAUAAGUAUUUAAUUUAUUUUUAAAAUUAAUAUUAUUUAUAAAUAAAAGGAUGUUAUAAUUAUUAAAUUUAUAAGUUAAAAUUUUUAUUUUUUUUAAAUAUUUUAUAUUAAAAAUAAAAAUAAUAAAUAAUUUUAUGAUUUAAUGAUAAAAUUAGUAUAAUAGUUAAUUUUAAUAAUGUAAAAAUUUAGAUAAUUUAAAGGAAUUCGGCAAAUACAUUUUUCACCUGUUUAUUAAAAACAUGUCUUUUUGAUAAUAAUAUUAAGUUGGCCCUGCCCCCUGAGUUUUAAAUGGCUGCGGUAUUUUGACCGUACAAAGGUAGCAUAAUCAUUAGUUUUUUAAUUGAAAGCUGGAAUGAAAGGGUUAAUGAAAAAAUUUCUGUCUCUAAAUUAUUUAAUUAGAAUUUUAUUUUUAAGUAAAAAAGCUUAAAUUUAAUUAAAAGACGAUAAGACCCUAUAGAGUUUUAUAAUUUAAAUUUAUUAUAAAAUUAGUAUUAUUUUAUUUUAAUAUUUUUAUAUUAUUAUAUUGGGGUGAUAGAAAAAUUGGACUAACUUUUUUUUUAAAAAAACAUUUAUAUUUGAAUGAUUGAUCCAAUUAAAUUGAUUAUAAGAAUAAAUUACCUUAGGGAUAACAGCGUAAUUUUUUUUUAGAGUUCUAAUCGAAAAAAAAGAUUGCGACCUCGAUGUUGGAUUAAAAUUAAUAUUUGGAGUAGAAAUUAAAUUAUUAAGUCUGUUCGACUUUUAAAAUUUUACAUGAUCUGAGUUUAAACCGGUAUGAGCCAGGUUGGUUUCUAUCUUUAAUAAAAAUAAUAUUUUAGUACGAAAGGAUUUGAUAUUAAAUUUAAAAUUUAAAAUUAAGAAU